rnacentral:rRNA from 1 species
GGCGAUCAGAUACCGCCCUAGUUCUAACCGUAAACGAUGACAACCAGCGAUUAAUCGGCGUUAAUAUACGACCCGAUUAGCAGCUUCCGGGAAACCAAAGUUUUUCGUUUCCGGGGGAAGUAUGGUUGCAAAGCUGAAACUUAAAGGAAUUGACGGAAGGGCACCACCAGGAGUGGAGCCUGCGGCUUAAUUUGACUCAACACGGGAAAACUCACCCGGCCCGGACACUGUAAGGAUUGACAGACUGAGAGCUCUUUCUUAAUUCAGUGGGUGGUGGUGCAUGGCCGUUCUUAGUUGGUGGAGCGAUUUGUCUGGUUAAUUCCGAUAACGAACGAGACUCUGGCCUAUUAAAUAGACGAGGUAUUUACAUAGUACCUCGCGCUUCUUAGAGGGACAAGCGGCGUCUAGUCGCAUGAAAAAGAGCAAUAACAGGUCUGUGAUGCCCUUAGAUGUCCGGGGCUGCACGCGCGCUACACUGAAAGAAUCAGCGUGCAUUUUAACCUAGUCCGGAAGGACCGGGUAACCCGAGUAAAUUCUUUCGUGCUUGGGAUAGGGAAUUGCAAUUAUUUCCCUUAAACGAGGAAUUCCCAGUAAAUGCGGGUCAUAAGCUCGCGUUGAUUACGUCCCUGCCCUUUGUA